GGUGUUUGUGUAUUGACGGGUGGCGUAGGACUUUGUGUGAUAAAGGUGUGCGCCGGUUCGGUAGGGAGGUGGUGGUGGUGGUCAGUGCACUGACGGUGAUUUGAAUGCCGGGCACUUGGUACUGCCUGACGGCCAAUUAAGUGGUGAUACCUGGGUGGUGAUGGUCGUCGCCAAACUGCUGAAGCAAGCUGGUAGCGGUCUGAUAUACCGGAACUAGGGCGAUUGGGCCGUAGGCCAAUGAAGUGAGUUAUGUCUUAUCAUUUAUUGUGUAUGAGAAUUGUUUACAUUGUUAUUGUUGGCUCAGAAAUAUUCAUCUAAUGUUACUGCGUGAGGCUGUGUGUAAAAUUUCGUGAAUGACUCAUGCCAUGCUGCCCAUACAGGUUGAAAUAAACGAUUUGACAACG